rnacentral:piRNA from 1 species
UGAAGUUGUCAGGAGACAGGGCCUCAGCAGGU